rnacentral:rRNA from 1 species
AUAUCAGUCAUGCAUAGCAUAUCAAUAAGCGGAGGAAAAGAAACUAACAAGGAUUCCCUUAGUAACGGCGAGUGAAGCGGGAAGAGCUCAAAUUUGAAAUCUUCAAGGUUCUACCUUGACGAAUUGUAGUUUAUAGAAGUGUUUUCUGUUAGUAGAGUGGCAAAAGUUCUUUGGAAUAGGACAUCAUAGAGGGUGAGAAUCCCGUAUUUGGUCAUUCUUUCUAGCUUUGUGAUACACUUUCAACGAGUCGGAUUGUUUGGGAAUGCAGUCCAAAAUGGGUGGUAAAUUUCAUCUAAAGCUAAAUAUUGGCGAGAGACCGAUAGCGAACAAGUUACCGUGAGGGAAAGAUGAAAAGAACUUUGAAAAGAGAGUUAAACAGUACGUGAAAUUGUCAAAAGGGAAGCGUUUGACACCAGUGUUGUUUUUCCGAAAAUCAAUUACGAAUGUUUUGUUUUUGAGGAGUUAUGACUUCAUCGGCUUGCUCCUUUCUUUACGAAACUUUCUUAAUGCACUUUUCGGUUAACAAGUCAACAUCAAUUUCUUUUGUUGUAAAAGGGUAUGAGGAAGGUGGCUUUCUUUUCGGAGAAAGUGUUUAUAGCCUUGUGCCUCUGCAAUCGGAGAGAUUGAGGUCUGCAGUGUAGAUCCUUCGGGGUUAGAUACGUUUGUGCUAAGUUAUAGCUUUUCAUAGACAACUUGUUGACUAUGUUUAGUCUUGUAGCUUACUCGCUUACUGCUAUUUUACCUACGCUUAGGAUGUUGAUCUCUCACAGUCGAGC